rnacentral:rRNA from 1 species
UACAGAGGUGCCGAGCGUUAGGCGGAAUCACUGGGCUUAAAGCGUGUGUAGGCGGAUGCCUAAGUACCUUGUGAAAUCCCACAGCUCAACUGUGGAACUGCUUGGUAUACUGGGUGUCUUGAGCCACUUAGGGGUUACCGGAACAAAUGGUGGAGCGGUGAAAUGCGUAGAUAUCAUUUGGAACGCCAAUGGUGAAAACAGGUAACUGGGAGUGAUGCUGACGCUGAGACACGAAAGCCAGGGGAGCGAACGGG